GACGAACGCUGGCGGCAUGCCUAACACAUGCAAGUCGAACGAGACCUUCGGGUCUAGUGGCGCCCGGGUGCGUAACGCGUGGGAACCUGCCCUGAGGUUCGGAAUAACUCCCCGAAAGGGGUGCUAAUACCGGAUAAUGUCUUCGGACCAAAGAUUUAUCGCCUUUGGAUGGGCCCGCGUUGGAUUAGCUAGUUGGUAGGGUAAAAGCCUACCAAGGCGACGAUCCAUAGCUGGUCUGAGAGGAUGAUCAGCCACACUGGGACUGAGACACGGCCCAGACUCCUACGGGAGGCAGCAGUGGGGAAUAUUGGACAAUGGGCGAAAGCCUGAUCCAGCAAUGCCGCGUGAGUGAUGAAGGCCUUAGGGUUGUAAAGCUCUUUUACCCGGGAUGAUAAUGACAGUACCGGGAGAAUAAGCUCCGGCUAACUCCGUG
rnacentral:rRNA from 1 species